GAGAGUAAGGGCGCACGGUGGAUGCCUUGGCACUAGGAGCCGAAGAAGGACGUGACAAACGACGAAAUGCCUCGGGGAGCUGUAAGUAAGCGCUGAUCCGGGGAUGUCCGAAUGGGGGAACCCAACAGGUACUACCUGUUACCCAUCUCUGUUAAGGAGAUGAGGAGGAAGACGCAGUGAACUGAAACAUCUAAGUAGCUGCAGGAAGAGAAAGCAAAAGCGAUUGCCUUAGUAGCGGCGAGCGAAACGGCAGGAGGGCAAACCGAAGAGUUUACUCUUCGGGGUUGUAGGACUGCAAUGUGGACUCAGAUUUUAUAGAAGAAUGACAUGGGAAGGUCAGCCAAAGAGAGUAAGAGCCUCGUAUUUUAAAUAGAAUCUGUACCUAGCAGAAUCCUGAGUACGGCGGGACACGUGAAAUCCCGUCGGAAUCUGGGAGGACCAUCUCCCAACCCUAAAUACUCCCUAGUGACCGAUAGUGAACCAGUACCGUGAGGGAAAGGUGAAAAGCACCCCGACAAGGGGAGUGAAACAGAUCCUGAAAUCGGAAGCCUACAAGCAGUCGGAGCCCCCAAGCGGGGUGACGGCGUACCUUUUG
rnacentral:rRNA from 1 species